rnacentral:rRNA from 1 species
GAACGCUAGCGGCAGGCUUAAUACAUGCAAGUCGUGGGGCAGCAUGAGUAGCAAUACUUGAUGGCGACCGGCAAACGGGUGAGGAACACGUACACAACCUUCCUUCAAGCGGGGAAUAGCCCAGAGAAAUUUGGAUUAAUACCCCAUAAUAUAUUUGAUAAGGCAUCUUAUUAAUAUUAAAGCUUCGGCACUUGAUGAUGGGUGUGCGGCUGAUUAGAUAGUUGGCGGGGUAACGGCCCACCAAGUCUACGAUCAGUAGCUGAUGUGAGAGCAUGAUCAGCCACACGGGCACUGAGACACGGGCCCGACUCCUACGGGAGGCAGCAGUAAGGAAUAUUGGACAAUGGACGAAAGUCUGAUCCAGCCAUGCCCGCGUGAAGGAUUAAGGUCCUCUGGAUUGUAAACUUCUUUUAUAUGGGACGAAAAAAGGGCAUUCUUGUUCACUUGACGGUACCAUAUGAAUAAGCACCGGCUAACUCCGUG